rnacentral:sRNA from 1 species
AUGCAGCAUUCGUAGACUCCGGUUCUGCGUGCGCCAUCCACACCUGCCUGACGACUGCUCGCUGCGUUUUGUCAGCC